UGGGGAAUAUUGGACAAUGGGCGCAAGCCUGAUCCAGCCAUGCCGCGUGAGUGAUGAAGGCACUAGGGUUGUAAAGCUCUUUCACCGGUGAAGAUAAUGACGGUAACCGGAGAAGAAGCCCCGGCUAACUUCGUGCCAGCAGCCGCGGUAAUACGAAGGGGGCUAGCGUUGUUCGGAUUUACUGGGCGUAAAGCGCACGUAGGCGGACUUUUAAGUCAGGGGUGAAAUCCCGGGGCUCAACCCCGGAACUGCCUUUGAUACUGGAAGUCUUGAGUAUGGUAGAGGUGAGUGGAAUUCCGAGUGUAGAGGUGAAAUUCGUAGAUAUUCGGAGGAACACCAGUGGCGAAGGCGGCUCACUGGACCAUUACUGACGCUGAGGUGCGAAAGAGUGGGGAGCAAACAGG
rnacentral:rRNA from 1 species